GCCAGGCAUAGAGGUGCAUGCCUGUAAUCCUGACUAUUCAGAAGGCUGAGGCAGGAAGAUCACUUGCGCCCAGGAGUUCAAGGACAGCCUGGGCAUCAUAGCAAGAGCCCAUUUAUCUU
rnacentral:sRNA from 1 species